AGAUGUCGGAUACUUCAGAGAAAAAGUGGAAACCAACUCUGACUAAAAUCCUGGAGGAGCUGGACAACAAACAGUACAGAAAGACAAUGGAAUAUUUGGACAAAGUUCCCAAAGGUCAGAAGAAAGGCAGAUCUUUUGCAACGAUGGCCCAAAAAAUAAUUGAGCGCUACGGACAUGACGAAUCAAUUUCUACAAUACAUAAAAUCAUGGAAGAGAUACCGAGGAAGGAUCCGAGGAUGCAGGAACUGUUGGGCCCCUUUGUUGAAGAACUGAGGAGCAAAAAUGAAAAAGGGAGAAAAGGAAAGAAGAGAAAGUGUGAUUCAGUGGAGAAGGAAGACAAUCCUCCAGCAGAGAUGUCGGAUACUUCAGAGAAAAAGUGGAAAGCAACUCUGACUAAAAUCCUGGAGGAGCUGGACAACAAACAGUACAGAGAGACGAUGGAAUAUUUGGACAAAAUCCCCGGAAGUCAGAAGAAAGGCAGAUCUGAAGCAACGAUGGCCCAAAAAAUCAUUGAGCGCUACGGACAUGAUGAAUCAAUUUCUGCAAUACAUAAUAUCAUGGAAGAGAUACCGAGGAAGGAUCCAAGGAUGCAGGAACUGUUGGGCCCCUUUGUCGAAGAACUGAGCAGCAAAAAUGAAAAAGGGAGAAAAGGAAAGAAGAGAAAGUGUGAUCCAGUGGAGAAGGAAGACAAUCCUCCAGCAGGAAAGAAGAGGAAAUGUGAUCAAGUGGAGAAGAAGAAGAAAAAGCCUGCAGAAGGUCAAAAGAGCAGCCAGCCUGUCAAGGAGACAAACGCUGAUCGUUGGAAAUCCAUCCGUGAGCUGAAGUCCAGCAGUGCACUUCUUGACACUGAUGGCAUUGUUGGGAAAGUUGUUCAGAAAUCUGGUGUGCGCAGUUAUCGAACCAAAGAAAAUGUUAAAAAGUAUUUUUUUUAUCUGGCAGUCGCUGAUGAGACGGCCAGCAUGAAAUUGAUGGUGUAUGGAAAACCAUUCUAUAAACAAAUCAUGGAAGAGAAGACCUACAUGUUCAGGCAGCUAACCAAAGAUGAGAACGUUUUUAAGUUUCGCUCACAGAGUAAAUACUCAGAGACGAAACCUGUUCAAGUUCCAGACGAGCUUGAGACGGAAGCUCGGGAGCUGAUUUAUCCCAAGAGUCCAGAAUACUCCAUUGCUGAAGCCAAACUGUCUACUGACAUCCGUGUGACUGUUACAGGAACCAUUACAAAGGUUCAAAGUGGCAGCCAGAGUGAGAGAAUUGAAAUUGAAGGAAUCGCAAAAGCCACAAAGAAGGAGACUCACCUGGACGCAUUUUUCAGAGACGAGAUGCACAGGUGUGUUGUGGCUUCUCCACUUCUGGCAAAGGCUUUUGGCUUCAAACUGGAGGGUGAUAUAAAAGAAAAGCUCCUUGACAUCAUUCCAAUGUCAGCAGACGCAGUAAUACAAGGAGGUCAAAUAAAAGAACUCACAGCCGCUCCAGUGAAAUAA
rnacentral:lncRNA from 1 species